GAUGAACGCUAGCUACAGGCUUAACACAUGCAAGUCGAGGGGCAGCAUGGAAGAAGCUUGCUUCUUCUGAUGGCGACCGGCGCACGGGUGCGUAACGCGUAUCAAACCUGCCUCAUACUCGGGGAUAGCCUUGCGAAAGUAAGAUUAAUACCCGAUGUUGUUAUGUUACCGCAUGGUGAUAUAACCAAAGAUUUAUCGGUAUGAGAUGGUGAUGCGUCCGAUUAGGUAGUAGGCGGGGUAACGGCCCACCUAGCCUUCGAUCGGUAGGGGUUCUGAGAGGAAGGUCCCCCACACUGGAACUGAGACACGGUCCAGACUCCUACGGGAGGCAGCAGUGAGGAAUAUUGGUCAAUGGGCGAGAGCCUGAACCAGCCAAGUAGCGUGCAGGAUGACGGCCCUCCGGGUUGUAAACUGCUUUUAGUUGGGAAUAAAAAAAGGGACUUGUCCCUUCUUGUAUGUACCCUCAGAAAAAGGACCGGCUAAUUCCGUGCCAGCAGCCGCGGUAAUACGGAAGGUCCAGGCGUUAUCCGGAUUUAUUGGGUUUAAAGGGAGCGUAGGCGGAUUGUUAAGUCAGCGGUUAAAGGGUGUGGCUCAACCAUGCAUUGCCGUUGAAACUGGCGAUCUUGAGUGCAGACAGGGAUGCCGGAAUUCGUGGUGUAGCGGUGAAAUGCUUAGAUAUCACGAAGAACUCCGAUUGCGAAGGCAGGUGUCCGGGCUGCAACUGACGCUGAGGCUCGAAAGUGUGGGUAUCAAACAGG
rnacentral:rRNA from 1 species